AUCGAACGCUGGCGGCAUGCUUUACACAUGCAAGUCGAACGGUAACAGGCCGCAAGGUGCUGACGAGUGGCGAACGGGUGAGUAAUGCAUCGGAACGUGCCCAGUCGUGGGGGAUAACGCAGCGAAAGCUGCGCUAAUACCGCAUACGAUCUAUGGAUGAAAGCGGGGGACCGUAGGGCCUCGCGCGAUUGGAGCGGCCGAUGUCAGAUUAGGUAGUUGGUGGGGUAAAGGCUCACCAAGCCAACGAUCUGUAGCUGGUCUGAGAGGACGACCAGCCACACUGGGACUGAGACACGGCCCAGACUCCUACGGGAGGCAGCAGUGGGGAAUUUUGGACAAUGGGCGCAAGCCUGAUCCAGCAAUGCCGCGUGCAGGAAGAAGGCCUUCGGGUUGUAAACUGCUUUUGUACGGAACGAAACGGUCCUGGUUAAUACCUGGGGCUAAUGACGGUACCGUAAGAAUAAGCACCGGCUAACUACGUGCCAGCCGCCGCCGUAAAAC
rnacentral:rRNA from 1 species